AAAAAAAAAAAAAAAAAAAAGCUAGGCAUGAUGGGAAAAAAAAAAAAAAAAAAAAAAAAAAAAAAAAAAAAAAAAACCACCACCCUGACACAGCUGUUUCUAAUGGGUGUGUGGUUGUGGCUUUGUUUGCUUUUCUAGCCCUUGGUGAUUGUGAACUGGUCCGAGGGGUGACGGAUGGCUCUGUAUGCUCUGUAAGCAGCUGCCGUCAACUUUUC
rnacentral:lncRNA from 1 species